CAAAUUACAAUCAAAUGAAAGUCCAGGUCACAAUAAAAGCUCCAUACAGGCACAUGAAUACAUGAUUCAGCGAGUUACGUACCGGAGAAGCAGAGUGGGAGAAUGGAAUUUAGAGCUUGACGGAUUUUCCUACUUUGUAGCGGUAGGAAGAACGACGAAGAAACAGUGAUGAAAUGAAAUGGAAAGCGGUAGAGUCUGAGUGGAUGGAUAAUCGGGGAGGGACAUAUGAAAUUGGAAAUCUAGAAGGAAUUAAGGAGUGGAGAGGAAGAAACAAAGAGAAGGAAAAGAUGACUACCGGCAACGAACCGGUGGUGGAAGAAGGG
rnacentral:lncRNA from 1 species